CCAAUAGCGUAUAUUAAAGUUGUUGCAGUUAAAAAGCUCGUAGUUGAAUUUCGGGGUUAGUAGGUUGGUCAUGCCUCUGGUAUGUACUGGUCUCACUGAUUCCUCCUUCCUGAUGAGCCGUAAUGCCAUUAAUUUGGUGUUGCGGGGAAUUUGGACUGUUACUUUGAAAAAAUUAGAGUGUUUAAAGCAAGCUAACGCUUGAAUACAUUAGCAUGGAAUA
rnacentral:rRNA from 1 species